GAUGAACGCUGACAGAAUGCUUAACACCUGCCAGUCCACUGUGGAGGACGGGUGAGUAACGCGUAAAGACCUUGCCUCACGGAUAGGGACAACAUUUGGAAACGAAUGCUAAUACCUGAUACUGUGAGAGAGCUUUGCGUCCCAUUAGCUAGUUGGCGAGGUAACGGCUCACCAAGGCGAUGAUGGGUAUCCGGCCUGAGAGGGUGAUCGGCCACAAGGGGACUGAGACACGGCCCUUACUCCUACGGGAGGCAGCAGUGGGGAAUAUUGGACAAUGGACCAAAGUCUGAUCCAGCAAUUCUGUGUGCACGAUGAAGUUUUCGGAAUGUAAAGUGCUUUCAGUUGGGAAGCGGUACCAACAGAAGAAGCGACCGCUAAAUACGUGCCAGCAGCCGCGGUAAUAC
rnacentral:rRNA from 1 species